rnacentral:rRNA from 1 species
GGUUAGUGGCAGACGGGUGAGUAAUGCAUAGGAAUCUGCCCAGUAGUAUGGGAUAGCCACUAGAAAUGGUGGGUAAUACUGUAUAAUCCCUGCGGGGGAAAGAUUUAUCGCUACUAGAUGAGCCUAUGUUAGAUUAGCUAGUUGGUGGGGUAAUGGCCUACCAAGGCUGUGAUCUGUAGCUGGUCUGAGAGGAUGAUCCGCCACACUGGAACUGAGACACGGUCCAGACUCCUACGGGAGGCAGCGGUGGGGAAUAUUGGACAAUGGGCGCAAGCCUGAUCCAGCUAUGCCGCGUGAGUAAGGAAGGCCUUAGGGUUGUAAAACUCUUUCAGUGGGGAAGAUAAUGACGGUACCAACAGAAAAAGUCCCGGCAAACUC